AUUGAACGCUGGCGGCAGGCCUAACACAUGCACGUCGAACGAGUGGCGGACGGGUGGGUUAUGUCUGGGACACUGCCUGGUGGAGGGGGAUCACUACUGGGAACGGUAACUAAUACCGCAUACCAUCAGAUGUGCCCGGAUGGGAUUAGCUCGUUGGUGUGGUAACGGCUCACCACGGCGACGAUCCCUAGCUGGUCUGAGAGGAUGAACAGUCACUCUGGAACUGACACACGGUCCAUACGCCUACGUGAGGCAGCAGUGGGGAAUAGUGCACACUGGGCGCAAGCCUGAUGCAGCCAUGCCGCGUGUAUGAAGAGGGCCUUCGGGUUGUAAAGUACUUUCAGCGGGGAGGCGUUACCCGCAGAAGACGCACCGGCUAACUCCGUGCCAGCCGCCGCGGUAAUUC
rnacentral:rRNA from 1 species